AUUGAACGCUGGCGGCAGGCCUAACACAUGCAAGUCGAGCGGAUGAAGGGAGCUUGCUCCUGGAUUCAGCGGCGGACGGGUGAGUAAUGCCUAGGAAUCUGCCUGGUAGUGGGGGAUAACGUCCGGAAACGGGCGCUAAUACCGCAUACGUCCUGAGGGAGAAAGUGGGGGAUCUUCGGACCUCACGCUAUCAGAUGAGCCUAGGUCGGAUUAGCUAGUUGGUGGGGUAAAGGCCUACCAAGGCGACGAUCCGUAACUGGUCUGAGAGGAUGAUCAGUCACACUGGAACUGAGACACGGUCCAGACUCCUACGGGAGGCAGCAGUGGGGAAUAUUGGACAAUGGGCGAAAGCCUGAUCCAGCCAUGCCGCGUGUGUGAAGAAGGUCUUCGGAUUGUAAAGCACUUUAAGUUGGGAGGAAGGGCAGUAAGUUAAUACCUUGCUGUUUUGACGUUACCAACAGAAUAGCACCGAA
rnacentral:rRNA from 1 species